rfam:Triticum urartu cultivar G1812 contig63516, whole genome shotgun sequence.
CUUGUACUCCCUCCGUCCGGAAUUACUUGUCGCCCAAAUAGAUCUAUCUAACACUAUUUUAGUGCUAGAUACAUCCAUUUGAGCGUCAAGUAAUUCCGGACGGAUGGAGUAUGUC